CCUACGGGAGGCAGCAGUAAGGAAUAUUGGUCAAUGGACGCAAGUCUGAACCAGCCAUGCCGCGUGAAGGAUGAAGGCCCUCUGGGUUGUAAACUUCUUUUAUCUGGGACGAAAAAAGGGGAUUCUUCCUCACUUGACGGUACCAGAGGAAUAAGCACCGGCUAACUCCGUGCCAGCAGCCGCGGUAAUACGGAGGGUGCAAGCGUUAUCCGGAUUUACUGGGUUUAAAGGGUGCGUAGGUGGGUCUGUAAGUCAGUGGUGAAAUCUCCGAGCUUAACUUGGAAACUGCCAUUGAUACUAUAGGUCUUGAAUUAUCUGGAGGUAAGCGGAAUAUGUCAUGUAGCGGUGAAAUGCUUAGAUAUGACAUAGAACACCCAUUGCGAAGGCAGCUUACUACGGAUUGAUUGACACUGAGGCACGAAAGCGUGGGGAUCAAACAGGAUUAGAUACCCUGGUAGUCCACGCCCUAAACGAUGGAUACUCGACAUCAGCGAUACACUGUUGGUGUCUGNGNGAAGANAUAUAUCCACCNCGGAGACGACGCGAGUAGUAAGUAAAGAAGUAGACGNGNGAGAGNGCGAGACGACGACGAGGGAGGAGG
rnacentral:rRNA from 1 species